UACGUAGGGUGCGAGCGUUGCCCGGAUUUAUUGGGCGUAAAGGGCGCGCAGGCGGCUACGCACGUCCGUUGUGAAAUCGCUCGGCUCAACUGGGCGGGGUCAGCGGAUACGGCGUAGCUGGAGCAAGCUAGGGGGCAAUGGAAUUCCCGGUGUAGCGGUGAAAUGCGUAGAUAUCGUAAGGAAGACCAGUGGCGAAGGCGGGUCUCUGGACAGUUCCUGACGCUGAGGCACGAAGGUCAGGGGAGCAAACCGGG
rnacentral:rRNA from 1 species